rnacentral:rRNA from 1 species
GCGAAAACUUUACAAUGCCGGCAACGGCGAUAAGGGGACCUCGAGUGCCAGGUUACAAAUCUGGCUGUCGAGAUGCCCAAAAAGCAUUUCAUAGCAAGGGCCGGGCAAGACCGGUGCCAGCCGCCGCGGUAACACCGGCGGCUCGAGUGGUAACCGUUAUUAUUGGGUCUAAAGGGUCUGUAGCCGGCCGGAUAAGUCUCCUGGGAAAUCUGGCAGCUUAACUGCCAGGCUUUCAGGAGAUACUGUUCGGCUCGAGGCCGGGAGAGGUGAGAGGUACUUCAGGGGUAGGGGUGAAAUCUUGUAAUCCUUGAAGGACCACCAGUGGCGAAGGCGUCUCACCAGAACGGACCUGACGGCAAGGGACGAAAGCUAGGGGCACGAACC